UACGUAGGCGGCAAGCGUUGUCCGGAUUUAUUGGGUUUAAAGGGUGCGUAGGCGGCUUUGUAAGUCAGGGGUGAAAUAUGGCAGCUUAACUGUCAAGGUGCCAUUGAUACUGCGGAGCUUGAGUACAGAUGAGGUAGGCGGAAUUGACGGUGUAGCGGUGAAAUGCUUAGAUAUCGUCAAGAACACCUAUAGCGAAGGCAGCUUACUAGGCUGUAACUGACGCUGAGGCACGAAAGUGUGGGGAUCAAACAGG
rnacentral:rRNA from 1 species